rnacentral:lncRNA from 1 species
GGCCGUGGUCAGGGACAGCCAGCACGGCUUCGCCGAGGAAAAGCGUUUUCCGUGUGUGUCAAACCCCGGAAGGACGUGGAGGCUGCCACGGGCGCAGGUUCUGCGUGUCCGGCGGGUCCUGACCGCAGCAAGCUCUGCGGGUUGACCGCCGGGCACGGACGCACAGCCACACGGGAAGAGCACGGCUAAGUCGCAAGCAGAAAUGGUGAAAUGCACAGCAAAAACUCUGUAAAGCUCUCAGCAGGCCUCAGCCGGGGGGCAAAAGGACAGUGUACGGUUCAGAAGACACUACCUACCCGACUUACGUCCUGAGGAAGAGCCCACCCUGUAAAUCCAAGGAGAUCCAAGUCGGGCUCAUAGAGGCUUCUAUGAGACACACGUGGAAGUCUGAGGUGGAAGCACGACCCUGGAUUCAACUAUUUAACAUAUACCGUGGAAUGACCCGUCGGUGCCGGGCGGUGCGGAGCCCGAAGCCCCGGUGCAGCUCACGAGCCUGGAGGAGCCGGCGCGCCCAGCGGGAGAAGGCACACAUGGCUGGAGAGCAUGCGCAGAGGGCUGGAGGAGCAUGCGCACACGGCUGGAGAGCGCGCGCAGAGGGCUGGAGAGCACGCGCACACGCCUGGACGAGCCAGCGAGAAGCCAGCCCGCCCGGCUGGAGAGCGUGCCCGCCUGGAACGAGCACGCACACGUUUGGAGAGCACGCUCUGCUGGAGAGCGCGCGUGCACGGCUGAACCGGCCCCGAGUCAGGCACCUGGACACAGGUGACAGCAGGCCCCGACGUGUCGGUGCUGGUGGGACUGCACUUCCCGUUCCGGCUGCACUUUUCAGAAGCACGUGGACAGAAGAGCGGUUCCAAACAGGUUUACAUCAAAGUUGGAAGACGGUCGGAGGCCCCCGUGCCCAUCUCACCAGCCCCCCUGGGGCCACUGACAGGCCUGUGGAAGCCGCAUCCUACUGACCGAGCCACGGAGCCGCUCUGCUUCCUCGUCUCCCCCAGAGUCCUUGCUGGGCCUCAGGACCCAGCCCCACACCAGACUGCAGUGAUGCUGUCACCGAGUGCCCUUGCCCCCCACCCCCCACAUCAGGGACAGUCUUUCUUUUAAAAAAGACUAACUUACAAGUUUAUAAAUGAAAGAACAAACAACACAGCACAACUAAAGGUAAGAGGCAAGAAUGGCACUCGGUUCGCAGCAAUAAAGGGGGUGGGUGGCUUUGAACCCA